UUAAAUCUUCCGCUAUUUUGUCCGGUUCUAACUCAAUAAUGUGGUUCGGGUCUUUCACAUAUUUAUGUAACAUGGAUAUAUGAAAAACGUUAUGAACACGAGACAUACUUGGCGGUAAAGCAAGUCUAUAGGCUACAGUCCCUACUUGAUCGAGGAUUAAAAAUGGGCCAAUGAAUGAGGAUUGAGCUUUCCUCUCUUU
rnacentral:lncRNA from 1 species